AGCAAUCAGCGAGACUCCAUGGGCGUAGGACCCUCGGAGCCAGGUGCGGGAUGUAAUCUCGUGGUGCGCCGUUUUUUAAGCCCGUCGGAAAAGCGCAAUAUUCGGGUGGGAGUGACCCGAUUUUCCAGGUAGAGACACUUUUGACUUGAUCUCUGCAGUCCUCAACAUGCCAUCUUCUAUCCCAAGGGCAGCCAUCUUCUAUCCCAAGGGCAGCCAUCUUCUAUCCUGAGGGAAGCUGGCCUGAGGAUGAAGCCAGAAUAUGGAGAAGAGGAGAAGGAGAUGGCUGAGAAGCAGAACGGAAACCUGAACUGCAUUUUUCUUAGAGCAAGAAUUACAUCAAUUCUUCAAGCCAAGUUGAGCACUGUUGGUUUCUGCUACUUGGAACUGAAUAAACUCUGACAGAUACUGUACAGGGAACAGUACUUGGGGAGCUCCACUUCAUCUGAGGCCUUCGUGAGUGGCUUGUGUCACAUUCCUGGCUGUUCAGGCAUCAGUCCUGGUUUCCUGGUGAGCUCUCUGCUGACUCCACCCAGAGCUCCCUUGCUUCCGUCUCUGCAGCAGCUACCUCCGUUCUCACACAUGGCUUCUUCUGAGUUUUCUUAUUUCAGCCAGUACCAUGGAACUCUCCUGACCUUGUGGGCUUUGGGCAGAAAUAACUCCACUCCCCACUUCUCUCCUAAAUUACUGGCAAUGGUGAUACUGACCAUGCAGGGAGAAACCUGAGCUGUUAAUGCUAGGAGCGUCAAGCUGUUGGUAGUGAAGCCAUCAUCCUCUCCAAGUUCCCAGAUACUUCUUUGUGAAAAUGAUGCACCAGACUCUCAUUUGUCAUCACUGGGAUUACUGUGAUCUUGUCUUGAAUUUCUACGAGUUUCACAUCCACGGUGGUAACUUAACCUGUCACUGUCUUGUUGCCUACACCUGCAUUACCCAGAACUACAGCCCAGGCACAGGCCCCUUCCAGGAUUCAGGUGGUCUCCAGAAAUUUCUUUUAGAAUGUAAUAAAUGCUUAAAGAAGAAUUAUACUGUGAGUAGAACAGCAUGCAGCCUGGCACUUAGCAAGUGAUCGAGAAAUAAUUCAUGAGUGAAUGAAUGAACAGAUGACAGAUGUAACCAAAAAUCAAAACUAAAAUCACUUCUGAAGUCGAGGAUGCACUUCUCAAUGGUGUGAACUUUAAAAGGUCAAAAAGUAAAUAUGUCCUUAUUUGGAAAAUAAGACAUGUUUCUUGUGAGGAAUAUUGGCCGAUCCAGAAAAAAAUAUAAAGAAGAAAAGAAAACAGCCAGAAAUCUCAGCAACUGGUGUCACUUUAUAAUAAGUAGCGUGUACUCGCAGAGAUGAAUUCUGAGGAACUGAGGUCUCCUGCCAACAGCCAGCAUCAACUUGCCAGUCUUGUGAGUGAAUCAUCCUGGAAAUGGAUUCUUCAGCCACAAUCAAGCCUUCAGAUGACGGUAGCCCUGGCUGAGAGCUUGACUGCAACUGUCCGUAAUUUAGUUGUGAGGCCACAUCUGACUUCAAGGGAGCCUUGGAAGGAGUCUUUAUGUGCCCAGUGGAGAACCAGAGCCUUAUCCCAAGGAAGAAGGGAGAGCAGGCAUUGAGGUUUGUUUUCAACAAACUCAUCAAAUCUUCAGUCAACUCAAAGAUACAUGUAUAUUUGAAGUAUUCAGGGAAGAGAACUAAAAAGAUACUAAUGAAACCGAGCUGUGUCAUCAAUCUCACCCUCUUUUAAGUUCCCAGAGACUGCAGUGCCCGGCCUUAUGUUGGCACAAUUUCAUUGUGUUGUCACCCACGUUUAUGCGGCUGUUUUCUCCAAGGCUGAGCCACUCCAGCUGAGAGCUGCGUCUGACUUGUGGCCUACCAGAUGGUGGAGGCUCAAUCAGUCUUUGCUGAGCAAAUCAAUGGAUCCAACAAGUAGAACUGAAUUAUGGAGAAAGAAGAAAGAGGUGAAGCACGGACCGGGUAAGGCUCACCUGAAUCAAAUCAAAGGGUUUGGAAGACAAAGAAGAUGAGUGGAUGCAUGCAUAAGAAUGAGGCAGUAUCACAAGAGGCGCUGACUUUACAAGAGAAUUAUGAUCUCCCCAGAGACAGACAAUCUAUCUAGAAAACUUUGCUCUCAGCUCCUGGGUAAUUCUGGGUUAAAUUAGCUCCAUUAGCUCAUAAAAACCACCAUUAGCUCACCAAAA
rnacentral:lncRNA from 1 species